AUUGAACGCUGGCGGCAUGCUUUACACAUGCAAGUCGAACGGCAGCACGGGCUUCGGCCUGGUGGCGAGUGGCGAACGGGUGAGUAAUAUAUCGGAACGUACCCAGAAGUGGGGGAUAACGUAGCGAAAGUUACGCUAAUACCGCAUACGAUCUAUGGAUGAAAGCAGGGGACCGCAAGGCCUUGUGCUCCUGGAGCGGCCGAUAUCUGAUUAGCUAGUUGGUGAGGUAAAGGCUCACCAAGGCGACGAUCAGUAGCUGAUCUGAGAGGACGACCAGCCAAAAUGGAAGUGAGAGACGGUCAAGAGGCCUAAGGGAGGCAGCAGUAGGGAAGCUUGAGGAAUGGGCGAAGGAGUGACAGAGCAACGUCGCGGGAGGGAUGAAGGUAUUAGGAUAGUAAAACGUUGUUAUUAGGGAAGAAAAUAUGUGUAAGUAAAUGUGCACAUAUUGACGGUACCUAAUAAGAAAGCCACGGCUAACUACGUG
rnacentral:rRNA from 1 species